CUCACUGACAGACACAUACUUACAAAACAUACACUCUCACUGACAAACAUACACUCACACACAGUGACACUCACUGACACACAAACUAACACACACACUGACACACUGACACACAAAAACUAACACAAAACUAACACUCAGUAACAGACACACACACUCACUGACACACAAAAACUAACACACUCGCUAACACUCACUAGCAGACACACACAAACUAACACACUCAG